CCGGCAGGAGCCACCGCCCCGCGGCAGCACACGGGGCCCUGGAUCCAUGCUGGCCCCCACAUUUCCACGCCGACAGCUGUCCCGCAGCCUCUCAAGCCAGGGCUUCCACAGAAGGCAGCUGCCAGCGACUCCCACUGCAGGCACCAUGCAGAGAACACGACCCCGGCCGGCCCCAGAGAUUCCCCCGGUCCCAAUGAACUCAGCACUGGAGUUUGAUGACCCCGUGUACAGCCCGAGGAUGAGCAGCACCAAGCAAGCCGCAGCCCCAGAGAACAUUUACGAGCAGGUUCCUAGAGGCCGCCCCUAAGGUAUACAGGUAGGGCCAUGGCAAUGCCCAGCCUCUUGUUGGCACAAGGUCUGCCUGCUCUGCUCUUGCAGGGCAGAGGGAGACCCCUGGACCUUGGAGGCAGUCCCAGGCAUACCAGCAGCAUCCAUCAGCUCUGCAUUGGGAUUCGCACGCCUUUCCUGGCACGGUUGCCUGUUCCCAAG
rnacentral:lncRNA from 1 species